rnacentral:tRNA from 15 species
GGUCAGAUGGCCGAGCGGUUAAGGCGCCAGCUUCAGGUGCUGGUCACGAAAGUGGCGUGGGUUCGAGUCCCACUCUGAUCA